GUUCCGUCGACGAUUUUACAGUCAAAUUCUUCACCCGUCCCUUCCCCCUGACGGAAGACCUAGAAGCUUCCAACCUUUUUCAACUCCACCUUGACUCGGCUUCCACCCCCCACCACUUCCUAAACCCCAGGUAACCCUAAAUUGCAGGAGGAGGGGAGACAGCCAAGGGCCCAUCCCCUCCCACCCUAAUAUCUAGAUAUCGUUGCAUUUAUUCAUAGACUUGAGAGACUUGUCCAAGAAAGAGUUAUCACUGUCUUUAAGAACCCAAACCUUCACAAAGUGGAACUGCUCUGUCUAGACGAAUACUCUUUUCACUAACAUUUUGCUUCUUAUGUUCGAAACCGAGUUGAAGUUUUCCAGGAGGAUUUAAUUAUUUCGAACUUUCGUGCUGCCAUCGCCAUCCAUGGGGUUAGCUGACCUCACUAUUUGAUGGGAUUAUACGGUCUUAUUACCCUGUGAACAAAUUAAACUAAUCGACGGCCAGAAAACUCCUACCAUCACAACCAAUUAUUGGCUGAAAAGUGACUCUCUUUGCUACGUUGGUCAUGAAUUGCCUGGGAACUCUGGGGCCGUUCCUUCAGCAUCCUGAAUGUUCCGGUGAAAGGAGAGUCUAUGUGCGUUCGUGUGUGGGUUGUAUGCGUGUGGGCUCAUGGCACACGGUGACUAAUCAUCGCCGAGAAGGCUGCGGCAUUGAUUCGAGGGUGAACAGUCACUGGGGGAAGUUCAUGGAAGACGGAGAGCUAGGUCGGUUGUUCUCACACUUAUCUUCAUACGUUUUUCCCAUCAUAUUCCUUGUUUAGCAUUACAAAAUUAGAGAACACUAGGGAGGAAAGCCAUCACCUGGUACAUGAUGCAUAUUGCGAAUAUGCUCCAGAAUGGACCAAUAUUUUGAAAUCCUUGAAAUUGUGUGGAGCGCUCGGACUGGACCGCCAAUGCGUUCUCGAGGAACUGUUUCUUGGAGAAGCGAAGGAUUCUCAGAAUCUGGCAUGUUUCGUAACCUCCGAACGAACUUUUCACUGCGGAUUUGUCUAAGACGCCGAGUCAAACAGCGUUUGUUGGCUCUCAGGCAGCUCCUGCAAGCGUAACUUGAUGCUCGAAGCCUCAAAUCAAGAAACAAUUCCGCAAGAAAUCAAAGCGCUCACAAAUUGUACGCCAUCAAGAAUGAACCACACCUCAGUAGCAAAUCACGGAUAUUCUCAAGUUUGGUCUGGGGAGCAUUUCACGACCUGACGCAUCCUUCUAAAUUUAAGUUUUAGUAUUGACCUUGCACUAGUCGAAUGAAGAUGCUGAUGUUUGGCACGGCCUUGCACCCUCCAUCACAUUGCUUUCCUACCGUAGCUUGUGCCGUGAGGCUUCAAACUCUGUUGCCUGCGACACCAUGACCGUGCCAAGUUUGCUCAGUCGAGCUUCUGUUGCAGUGUAAAUCAAAUUAAGAACUGAAUAUGCAGAAUCGUCCAGUGUGCGUUCCAUUAACGAUUAAAAGCUCGUCAGUGAGGUUGCAACACUUCUCCGAGGCAUUAUACAACCACACAUCCUCGUCACGAAGAAGCAGGGUAAAGCAUUACUGGUGUGGAUUUGUAGCACAGAUGUGCUGAAAUCCGCAGAAGCACAUUUCUAGAGCCACACUUUACAAACCCGAUCAUAUCAACCACGUCACAAUCUGUAGGAAUUGCUUGACGACAUGCAAGCACUUCUGAGACGGUUGAAGGCUUUAGACUUGGCACUUAGUCAGCAGGUAAGUAGCAGCAUCAAUACAUGCGUUUGAGGGGAAAUGCUCAAGCCAAGCGGCCAGGUGCUAGUGGCAACAUCACUCCUUCGAUUUGCGAGUGAUAAGUUUUUGAAGAAUUAUUUAACUAUUCUAAAGUUUUUAUAAAUAUAUAAUACGUACGUUUUUAUUU